CUGAUGACGAGCGUUCUUUUAGAAUGCGAAGUGGUUGAUGCCAUGCUUCCAGGAAAAGCUUCUAAGCUUCAGGUAACUAGGAACCGUACCCCAAACCGACACAGGUGGUUAGGUAGAGAAUACCAAGGCGCUUGAGAGAACUCGGGUGAAGGAACUAGGCAAAAUGGCACCGUAACUUCGGGAGAAGGUGCGCCGGUGAGGGUGAAGUAUUUACUACGUAAGCCCAUGCCGGUCGAAGAUACCAGGCCGCUGCGACUGUUUAUUAAAAACACAGCACUCUGCAAACACGAAAGUGGACGUAUAGGGUGUGACGCCUGCCCGGUGCCGGAAGGUUAAUUGAUGGGGUUAGCGCAAGCGAAGCUCUUGAUCGAAGCCCCGGUAAACGGCGGCCGUAACUAUAACGGUCCUAAGGUAGCGAAAUUCCUUGUCGGGUAAGUUCCGACCUGCACGAAUGGCGUAACGAUGGCGGCGCUGUCUCCACCCGAGACUCAGUGAAAUUGAAAUCGCUGUGAAGAUGCAGUGUAUCCGCGGCUAGACGGAAAGACCCCGUGAACCUUUACUAUAGCUUUGCACUGGACUUUGAGCUUGCUUGUGUAGGAUAGGUGGGAGGCUUUGAAGUGGGGACGCCAGUUCUCAUGGAGCCAUCCUUGAAAUACCACCCUGGCAACCUUGAGGUUCUAACUCUGGUCCGUUAUCCGGAUCGAGGACAGUGUAUGGUGGGUAGUUUGACUGGGGCGGUCUCCUCCCAAAGAGUAACGGAGGAGUACGAAGGUGCGCUCAGACCGGUCGGAAAUCGGUCGUAGAGUAUAAAGGCAAAAGCGCGCUUGACUGCGAGACAGACACGUCGAGCAGGUACGAAAGUAGGUCUUAGUGAUCCGGUGGUUCUGUAUGGAAGGGCCAUCGCUCAACGGAUAAAAGGUACUCCGGGGAUAACAGGCUGAUACCGCCCAAGAGUUCAUAUCGACGGCGGUGUUUGGCACCUCGAUGUCGGCUCAUCACAUCCUGGGGCUGAAGCCGGUCCCAAGGGUAUGGCUGUUCGCCAUUUAAAGUGGUACGCGAGCUGGGUUUAGAACGUCGUGAGACAGUUCGGUCCCUAUCUGCCGUGGACGUUUGAGAUUUGAGAGGGGCUGACCUUAGUACGAGAGGACCGGGUUGGACGAACCUCUGGUGUUCCGGUUGUCACGCCAGUGGCAUUGCCGGGUAGCUAUGUUCGGAAAAGAUAACCGCUGAAAGCAUCUAAGCGGGAAACUUGCCUCAAGAUGAGAUCUCACUGGAGCCUUGAGCUCCCUGAAGGGCCGUCGAAGACUACGACGUUGAUAGGUGGGGUGUGUAAGCGCUGUGAGGCGUUGAGCUAACCCAUACUAAUUGCCCGUGAGGCUUGACCAUA
rnacentral:rRNA from 1 species